UACUAGCAAUGUGCACUGUGC
rnacentral:misc_RNA from 1 species